UCAAGUUGAUGUUGUACUGAGAUUCAGCAUAAAAGACAGCAAGUCAAUACUGAGAGUUGAAACAACGGGUUCUAAUGAGCUUAUAGCGAAGAUUGGAGGAGCCUACGAAAUUGUACAAGCUUCAAGUAGUUGUUUUGUACUGCGCGGUCCCCAACAUUUAGGUGAUAGUGGCAUUUGUACUGUGUGGGUCCCACAAAACGCUGUCCACCUAGAACACACUGAAUGCAUAAGUGCAUUUAAAUCGCAGUGCCAGGGUACCGACAGCUGUCUAAGUAAACGGCAGUCGUGAGUUCUGGAAUACAUUUUAAGCCCCGGAAUGAGACUAUUGAGUG